GAUUACGUGAAGAUAUUGACAGCCGCCGGUGUUGACGUCGAGAUGGAGCUGAUAAAAGGGGUACCACACACCUUCUGGACUUUACCAGGAGCCUUCAAAGAGAACUGUCAGCGUUCAUACGAGCGUGUAGCGGCAUUCAUCCGAAAACAAUCCUUGUGAACCGGAUGGGACGAUUUUUGUGUUGCUUUAACUCACUCUCAUUUGUAUAUUUUGUAAAAACAUCUUCCUGAUAUUUGAUACUGACUCAUUUUUUCAUCCUUACAUGUACACAUGUAUUUGAACAAAAGUUACAUACACUUUAUUGCAUAGAAAUAAUCACGCGACUUGAUUAACUUAGAUUGUGAAAUGUUUUCUUAAGAUUUAAGAAAUAUAAGUAUACUACGUUUCCAAACUCAAGCCUGCAUCGCCUAAGUCAAAGAACGCCGGAAAAGGUGCUUUCAAUGCUUGAACCCAAGACCUCUGGCUGAAGAAGCCAGCCAUCAGACUUAAGGUGCCCAGAAUAUAUUUUGAUGAAAAUAAUUAUUAGAUUCGGAGAGAAAUUUAAUUUUGUUAUGGCAUUUCAA